UACGUAGGGGGCUAGCGUUGUCCGGAAUCACUGGGCGUAAAGGGCGCGUAGGCGGCCCGGUAAGUAGGGGGGUGAAAUCCUGCGGCUUAACCGCAGGGCUGCCUUCUAAACUGUCGGGCUAGAGUCCGGAAGAGGCGAGUGGAAUUCCUGGUGUAGCGGUGAAAUGCGCAGAUAUCAGGAGGAACACCAAUGGCGAAGGCAGCUCGCUGGGACGGUACUGACGCUGAGGCGCGAAAGCGUGGGGAGCAAACAGG
rnacentral:rRNA from 1 species